GAUUAUCAAAAGAAAUUGGAUUGGAUAAGUAAUUAAAAAUUAGAUCUUUCUAUUGAAUUUCUAAAUAAAUGUCGAAUUAUAAAUUAAUAAAUAGAUUUUAAUAAUUUUCGUUUUGUUAUUAUAAGGCCUGUAUCUGUCUGCUCGAAGGAAAAAAAGAAUCGAACGUUAGAGUAUUCUAAAUUCUAUCAAAAAAGAAUAGAAGGGGAGACAUCUAAGAUAGAGAUAUAUGUAGUAUAUAUCUCUGUAUAUUGAAUUGUGAAUACAGAGAUAAUAGAAUCAUUUCUGAUUCGACUAAAUUAUGGGUAUCUGAUAUCGAUGAAAGAAAAUCAAUCAAGAAAAAACAAAUAGAAGGAAAUUUUCCCCCACCCAAUAUGAGUGUAGGUUUUGAAUAAAUUCAACAGUUCCAGCAUAUUAUUCUCAUAAUACUCAUAAUACAAACAAAUGAAAAAAACAGCCUAAUGCGAUAUGAUAUCAAUCUCAAAGAAAAAACGGGGGAUAUGGCGAAAUUGGUAGACACUACGGACUUAAUUGGAUUGAGCCUUGGUAUGGAAACUUACCAAGUGAAAACUUUCAAAUUCAGAGAAACCCUGGAAUUCAAAAUGGGCAAUCCUGAGCCAAAUCCUUCUUUCUGAAAACAAAUAAAAGUUCAGAAAGUGAAAAUCAAAAAAGGAUAGGUGCAGAGACUCAAUGGAAGCUGUUCUAACAAAUGGAGUUGACAACAUUCAAUUGAUUAAUGAAGAUUUCUAACUUCUAUUUGUAACUAUUUUGAUUCUAUCACAAUGGAAACAUUAGAAUCAAUUACAACUGGAAGAAAAAAUGACUGAAUAUUCAUUGCUCAAAUCAGUCACUCCACCAUAAUCUGAUGGAUCUUUUGAAUAACUGAUUAAUCAGACGAGAAUAAAGAUAGAGUCCCAUUCUACAUGUCAAUACCGACAUCAAUGAAAUUUUUAGUAAGAGGAAAAUCCGUCGACUUUAGAAAUCGUGAGGGUUCAAGUCCCUCUAUCCCCAAAAGCCAAUUAAAUUCCCUCAUUUUGAUGGCCCUUUUUUGAUUUAGUUGACAUAGACUCAAGUAAUUUCUUAAAAUUAGGAUGGUGCGUCAAGAAUGGUCGGGAUAGCUCAGCUGGUAGAGCAGAGGACUGAAAAUCCUCGUGUCACCAGUUCAAAUCUGGUUCCCGGCAACUCAUUAUGUAUGAGUAUCUAUUCCCAUAUUUCUUUUCAAAAAUUGGGGGAAUAGAUAGAUAUUUAUUAGUGGUCUAAAACUCCAAGGGUUCACAUCCUUUUUCAUCUCAAACAUCUCCUACAAGCAAGAGGAAACAAGGCCAGUUGAUUUGAAUCAAGAUCUAGCUCAGAAUUCAUCACCCAAAGGUGAAAUUUAUCAAAAUUUCCUUCUUCGAUUCUCCCUCAUUUCUCCACCUUUUUGAUUGAUUUUUCCAAUCCUCAGGGAAUAUAAGGUUUUCAUGAGGCUGAUCUUGAGUCGCCAUCCACGCACGAAUACCUUCGUUUAAGAGAAUAUUUUUGGUGUAGAAAGUCUCAAAUUCAGGAUCUUCCGCUGCGCGGAUUAAUGAGGCUGAUCUUGAGUCGCCAUCCACGCACGAAUACCUUCGUUUAAGAGAAUAUUUUUGGUGUAGAAAGUCUCAAAUUCAGGAUCUUCCGCUGCGCGGAUUUCUUGAGAAACAAAGUCAUAGGCAUGUAGGUUCAGGGCCAGACCGACUACUCCAAGAGCACUCAUCCAUAAACCAGUUACUGGUACAAAUAACAUAAAGAAAUGUAACCAACGUUUAUUGGAAAAAGCAACCCCAAAGAUUUGGGACCAAAAGUGGUUAGCAGUAACCAUUGAAUAAGUUUCUUCUGCUUGGGUUGGGUUAAAAGCCCGGAAUGUAUUUGCGCCAUCACCAUCUUCAAAUAAGGUAUUUUCUACGGUAGCGCCAUGAAUAGCGCAUAGUAGGACAGCGCCCAAUACACCAGCAACUCCCAUCAUAUGAAAUGGGUUUAAUGUCCAAUUAUGAAACCCUUGGAAAAAGAGAAUGAAUCGAAAUAUAGCUGCUACACCAAAACUAGGCGCAAAGAACCAACCACAUAUGAAAUGGGUUUAAUGUCCAAUUAUGAAACCCUUGGAAAAAGAGAAUGAAUCGAAAUAUAGCUGCUACACCAAAACUAGGCGCAAAGAACCAACCAGACUGGCCCAGUGGAUAAAUAAGGAAUAAAGAAACAAAAACAGCAAUUGGACCGGAGAAUGCGAUUGCAUUAUAAGGCCGCAAUUGAACAGAUCGAGCAAGUUCAAAUUGACGUAACAUAAAACCUAUUAAUCCGAAAGCACCAUGAAGAGCAACAAAAGUCCACAGACCACCUAAUUGACACCAACGGGUCAAAUCUCCCUGUGCUUCAGGACCCCAUAGUAACAACAAAGAGUGUGCUAAACUAUUAGCAGGAGUAGAGACUGCUGCAGUUGAGAAGUUACAACCUUCCAAAUAGGAACUUGCCAAUCCAUGAGUAUACCAUGAAGUUACAAAGGUGGUACCUGUGAACCAACCCCCCACGGCAAAAUAGGCGCAAGGAAAGAGCAAUAGACCGGACCAACAAAUAGGAACUUGCCAAUCCAUGAGUAUACCAUGAAGUUACAAAGGUGGUACCUGUGAACCAACCCCCCACGGCAAAAUAGGCGCAAGGAAAGAGCAAUAGACCGGACCAACCCACAAAAACAAAACGGGCCCUCCGUAACCAGUCAUCCAUAAUAUCAAAUAAAUCAUUUUGAUCUUUGGUAAAUUUACCAAGAGCUAUAGUCAUAGUAAUCCUCCUAUUCAACUACUUCAAACCAUUUCCGAACACCUCCUAGCAUCUUCAGGGAUGGAACCUUCGAGGCUUUUUUCAUUUUAUAUAUGAUAUGAUUUCUCGUAGACUCUCCCUUGUUUUCGACUGGGUUUCGAAUAGAAAAAUUAUUUUUUUGUCGAUUGAUAUCUAAUCUAGGCCAAAUCCAUUAACUUAAUUGGCUUAUUCCUUUCUAUUCUAAAAAAAUUCCCUAAGUCAUGACUCGAAAAGUGUCUUAUGACUCAUAAAUCCUAUAAAUAGAUUUUUUAAAGAACUAUUCCAUAAACAAGGUCCCUCCGUAACCAGUCAUCCAUAAUAUCAAAUAAAUCAUUUUGAUCUUUGGUAAAUUUACCAAGAGCUAUAGUCAUAGUAAUCCUCCUAUUCAACUACUUCAAACCAUUUCCGAACACCUCCUAACAUUUUCAGGGAUGGAACCUUCGAGGCUUUUUUCAUUUUAUAUAUGAUAUGAUUUCUCGUAGACUCUCCCUUGUUUUCGACUGGGUUUCGAAUAGAAAAAUUAUUUUUUUGUCGAUUGAUAUCUAAUCCAGGUCAAAUCCAUUAACUUAAUUGGCUUAUUCCUUUCUAUUCUAAAAAAAUUCCCUAAGUCAUGACUCGAAAAGUGUCUUAUGACUCAUAAAUCCUAUAAAUAGAUUUUUUAAAGAACUAUUCCAUAAGCAAAUGAUCGAUCGCUUUUAUUACUCUCGUUACUAGCAGAUCCCCAGACAUACUACUCUGCUUUUAUCAAAUAAGAUUAUUCUUGAAUCUUGUUCGUGAAAUCAAAAAAAAUCGUUUUCUAUAUUAUUCGAAUUUGUAUGGUUCGAAUUUGUNUUGAUUUGUCGCUGAACAAAAAAAACGUUUCCAUAUAUUCGAAUUGUUAUGGUUCGAUUGAUUGAGAAUACUAAGGUCUAUAUUUUCUUUCUAUUUUACAUUAUUCUUUUUUGUUCUUUUUCUAUUUUUAUUUCAUUCAGAUUAAUCAAAUUCCGACGUAUACCCUUUCGUGCGGAUCGAGGUAAGAAAUUGGAAUAUUUUUCUCUAUGUGCAAGUUUCGUCCAUUAAUUGCCUUCAAAAUCUCGUAUUCCUCGUAUGCAUAGAUAUGAAAACCAAAUUUGGAUACUCGAAGUCAUGAUUUGAUGGAUUUUUCGAUUAUUUUUAUAGACAUAUCUUCAAGAAAUAAUAGAAAUCAAUUUGGAUCUUUUCUUGUAUUCAGAAAAAAGAUAUUUUGAAGUCAAAUGACUUGUCUGUUGGAACUUAGAAUAAGCCUUCCACUGGAGGAGAGGAGUAGCAAUUGAUUCCUAGGAACAAUAAGAUUUUAUCCGAAAUAUCAACAGAUUCUUGUAGAGUUAGAACCAAAAAGGUAUUAAAAAGAAAAAAAGAUCCACUGUUCGAAUUUCAUUUCUAUCCAAUUUGAAUAUCAGAAUAGUGGAUAUAGUUAUGAUUCAAUAGGUUAGGUCCACUUACUUUUUUCAGAAUCUCUCCCUUUAUUUGAUUGGAAUAAUCGAAAAUAGGAGUAUCUGACAAUUCAAGGAAAUAUCACAUUCUAAAAAAAGAAAUAAUAUAUAUAGAAAAGAAUGCCAUUUCCCUUUCUAACUAGAAAAAGAUCCACUGUUCGAAUUUCAUUUCUAUCCAAUUUGAAUAUCAGAAUAGUGGAUAUAGUUAUGAUUCAAUAGGUUAGGUCCACUUACUUUUUUUAGAAUCUCUCCCUUUAUUUGAUUGGAAUAAUUGAAAAUAGGAGUAUCUGACAAUUCAAGGAAAUAUCACAUUCUAAAAAAAGAAAUAAUAUAUAUAGAAAAGAAUGCCAUUUCCCUUUCUAACUAGAAUGAGUUUACUCUAUUCGAAUGAUAACAAUAACUCAAUAGAGUUUCAAUUCUAAAUUCGAUUUUUUAAUGAAAUUCAACUAUUCCUUCGUUUUUUUUAUUUUAUUACAAACAGAAACUUCUUACAAAUAUCAAGAAUAUUUGUAUAUGUUCCUUCAAAUAGGAACACUACUGUUAUCAUUUUUUGAUAAAAAAAAGCCCUUUAUCGGAUUUGAACCGACGACUUACGCCUUACCAUGGCGUUACUCUACCACUGAGUUAAAAGGGCGCCGUUUGAGUCAAUUCCCGAAUACAGAAUAAGCCAAUAUGAAUAUGAGUUUAGUACAUCUAUUUGUUACUGCAUAUACUUAUUAUAUAUAUACGAAAUAUAUAUAUAAAUCAGAUUUAUAUAUAUGUACAUAGAUCUAUUUUUUGUACCAACUCAUUAAUGAACAAAAAAUUGGAUUGACGAGUAUAGUGAAAAAAGAAUUUAUUCAUAUUGGAUUUGAUAAAUAUCACUGGAAUUCAAUUUUUCAAAACCGAUUCGAAUUGAAGUCAUCUUCAUCAUAACACGAAAUUAAUUUCAUUGAUACAUGUACCCCUAAUUCAAAUAUUUCUGAAUCUUUGAUAAAUGGAUUCUAUCCUGUCCCUCAACUGAAUUCUUAUUGAUCUUCAUCCUUUUUUACUCAAUUUCCAGAUUCAUUCUCGUUUUUUUAUUUCCCGACUUAGUGUGAAAUAGAAAUAUACCUAAUUCAAUCUUCUUAACACUGAAUGAAAGUGAAAGAAAUAAGGUGUUAAUGCCCCCCUGUUCCAGCAAAUCAAUCAUUUCCAGAAAGGAUUCUAUGUUUAUUUUGGUUUGUUUCGCAUUACUUCGUUUUAUUUUGUAUUUUGUUGAAUUAUAGAUUGGUGAUUGGAAUGAACAAUUUCGAAAUCGAAAGGAUUAAUCAAAAAAUUGUAAGGAAUUCUGAAAGAUGAGAAGAUCCUUCUGAUCGAAUCAUUAUAUUGACAAUUUCAAAAAACUGUUCAUACUAUGAACAUAGUAGAAUGGAGGUCGGGGAAGGAUGCCCCCAUCGUCUAGCGGUUUAGGACAUCUCUCUUUCAAGGAGGCAACGGGGAUUCGACUUCCCCUGGGGGUAGGGUACUACGAAAGGAAAUGGAUCAGGGAUUAUCAAUAAAGACUAAAUUGGAUUCUUCCUGGGUCGAUGCCCGAGCGGUUAAUGGGGACGGACUGUAAAUUCGUUGGCAAUAUGUCUACGCUGGUUCAAAUCCAGCUCGGCCCAAAAAUAUUUCUGGAUCCACCAUGAAAUGAUAGAACCCAUUUGGUGUUCUCUUAAAAUCACCAAUGGGUUCGGAUACAGAAGAUUAGAAUCUCGAGUCCUAUGUCUUUUUUCCAUAUUACUUACAUAUUUUUUCCACAAAUUCUGAUUUUCCAAAAUUCCUAUCGGGAUCUGUAAGUUUAAAGUCUAAGGNUAGAAUACGAUGGAUGUAUUCUCCAAUCACGGCAAUUUAUCGAUACGACACCUCGUCGGCGGGUAGAAUUUAACAAUGACCGAUUACGGCUGCCCUGCGGUCAUAGAUUGUCAGAUCUAAGCUCAUCUGAUCAAGUAUCUCUGAGCGGUCUUCCGUAGCGAAGGUGAUGAUACGGACCUGUCCGCGAUGAUUUGUGUAAAAAGGUUUUAUUAACUCCUAAGUUAUGUCGAGUAGACCUUGUUGUUGUUGCUAUAAUUCUUAAUUCAUGCGUUGUAGGGGGAGAUUUAUGUCACCACAAACAGAAACGAAAGCAAAGGUUGGGUUCAAAACUGGUGUUAAAGAUUAUAAAUUGACUUAUUAUACUCCUGACUAUCAAACCAUAGAUACUGAUAUAUUGGCAGCAUUCCGAGUAACUCCUCAACCUGGAGUUCCGCCUGAAGAAGCAGGUGCAGCGGUAGCUGCAGAAUCUUCCACUGGUACAUGGACAACUCUGUGGAGCGAUGGACUUACGAGCCUCGAUCAUUAUAAAGGACGUUGCUACGAGAUCGAGCCUGUUCCUGGAGAAGAUAAUCAAUUUAUUACUUAUGUAUCUUAUCCCUUAGACCUUUUCGAAGAAGGUUCUGUUACUAACAUGUUUACCUCCAUUGUAGGUAAUGUAUUUGGGUUCAAGGCCUUGCACGCUCUACGUCUGGAAGAUUUGCGAAUCCCUGAUGCUUAUGUUAAAACUUUCCAAGGUCCUCCUCACGAAAUCCAAGUUGAGAGAGAUAAAUUGAACAAGUAUGGACGUCCCCUAUUGAGAUGUACUACUAAACCCAAAUUGGGUUUAUCCGCUAAGAAUUAUGGUAGAGCAGUUUAUGAAUGUCUCCGAGGGGGACUUGAUUUUACCAAAGAUGAUGAAAAUGUGAACUGCCAACCAUUUAUGCGUUGGAGAGACCGUUUCUUAUUUUGUGCCGAGGCAAUUUAUAAAUCACAGGCCGAAACAGGUGAAAUCAAAGGACAUUAUUUGAAUGCUACUGCGGGUACAUGUGAAGAAAUGCUAAAAAGAGUUGUAUUUACUAGAGAAUUGGGUGUUCCUAUCGUAAUGCAUGACUACUUAACAGGUGGAUUCACUGCAAAUACUACCUUCUCUCACUAUUGUCGAGAUAAUGGUCUACUUCUUCAUAUCCACCAUGCAAUGCAUGCAGUUAUCGAUAGACAAGAAAAUCAUGGUAUGCACUUUUGCGUAUUAGUUAAAGCCUUACGCUUGUCUGGUGGAGAUCAUAUUCACGCUGGUACUGUAGUAGGUAAACUUGAAGGAGAAAGGGAGAUUACUUUAGGUUUUGUUGAUUUACUACGUGAUGAUUAUAUUAAAAAAGAUAGAAGUCACAAUAUUUAUUUCACUUAGGAUUGGGUUUCUUUACCAGGUGUUAUCCCUGUUGCUUCAGGGGGUAUUCACGUUUGGCAUAUGCCUGCUCUCACCGAGAUAUUUGGCGAUGAUUCUGUACUCCAAUUCGGUGGAGGAACUUUAGGACACCCUUGGGGAAAUGCACCUAGUGUCGUAGCGAAUCGAGUAGCUCUGGAAGCAUGUGUACAAGCUCGGAAUGAGAGACGUGAUCUUGCUCGCGAGGGUAAUGCAAUUAUCCGUGAAGCUUGAAAAUGGAGUCCUGAAUUAGCUGCUGCUUGUGAAGUCUGGAAGGAAAUCAAAUUUGAAUUCCCAGCAAAGGAUACUUUGUAAUCCAGUAAUAUCAUCCGUUCUAUUAAUUUCCAUUAAACUCGGCCUAAUCUUUUACUAAAAGGAUUGAGCCGAAUACUGUACAUAAUACUUAUUGUUUGUAUCUAUAAUAAAUCCUAUUGAUCCGAAGGAUCGAUAUAUAAAAUGUUUGUUGCCCGGUGCAACAAGAUCGAGUUGGUAAGAAUAAAAAAUUCUCUUCAUUUUUUUAUUCUUUUUGAUGGAUAAUCUGCAAUCAUAAUACGGUCCCUUGACCAUUCCGUAUAAAUGGUUCGGAAAUGAUCACUGACAAAGUUUUUUUAAUUUUUUUUUAACACUACUAUUUGUUCAGGAUUGAAUUUGAAUAUAUGACUUCUGAUUAAAUUGAAAAAAAUCUCCUACUAUCUCAUUCAUAUGCUAUGAGUAACUCAUAUUUUUUUUAACAUAACUAAUAAAUAUCUUUAAUUACUUUCUUUUUCUCUUUUCCUAAGAAUUCAUUGCAUGUAAUAUAAAAAUGUUAGUAUAAUUAUAAUUACUAUUAAAUUACCUUUGUAUCAUAGUAAACUUUCAUGUUAAUAGUAGUUUAUACUAAUUCUAGAGAUAUGGAGACAUAAGAGAAGCAAUAUCGGUGGUUUGCUAGUACUAGUAUCUAUCACCUUGGAUGAUCUUAGUGGAUUUUAAUAAUAGCAAAACAGUGGUGCACAAGACAAUAUUUUUAAAUGUAUAAAGUUUGACAGUUAAAUUAAUGAUUGUCACAUAAUGGAUGUAAUUACUUUGAGUUUUAAGUUCACAUGGAAAUGAUUCCACCGGAAGGGGAAAGAUUACAUUUAAUUUUUUUUUUGAUGAGACCCUCUCCAAUAUUGAGUGGGGAUUCAACUUUUUGAAAGGAUUUGCUAGAGUUUUUCUUGGUAUUCAAAAUGACCAUCAUCCCAUUAUUGCUAUACUUUAAGAAGGAGUCUUUAAGUCCUCCCAAACGUCCCUUUAAAUUUGAAGCGAUUUGACUUAUGCAUGAUAAAUUUAGAUCUUGGAUGUCCCUUUGAAUUUGAAGCGAUUUGACUUAUGCAUGAUAAAUUUAGAUCUUGGAUGUCCCUUUGAAUUUGAAGCGAUUUGACUUAUGCAUGAUAAAUUUGGAUCUUGGAUGCAUGAAAAAUGUGUUUAUGGGAAAGAUUGACCAACUAAAGUUUCUCAAAUAGUUUUGUAAUAUUGCCUUAUACAAUGUGAUCUAUAAACUUGUUAUUAAAACUGUGACGAACCAUGUGAAACCUCUGCUUAAGAAUAUCAUUUUUUUUGCAUCGGUUUAGUUUUAUCCUAGGGAGGAAUAUUCAUUAUACUAUUAUUAUAGAUCAAAAGAUGGUCCAUGGAAUGAAGAGAAUGAACUUCUUGAAGAUGUUUAUGUUGAUAAAGGUUGAUUUGGAGAAAGCCCACGACAUAUUGAAUUCACUACGCCAAAAAUGACUUUUAACAGCGCAUCUUAGACAGCGCUUUUAAAAGAAAGCGCUGUCUAAAGUUAAAAUUAAAAUAAAGCGCUGAAAAUGUUCCAAGAAAAUAAAGAAAGCGCUGUCUAAGGGGGGGUCUUAGACAGCGCUUUUUAAAAGCGCUGUCUAAGACCCCCCCUUAGACAGCGCUUUUAAAAAGCGCUUUUUAAUAUAGACCUUAGACAGCGCUUUUGAUAAAGCGCUGUCUAAAGUCUUUAAAUUAAAAAAAAAUUAAAAAACAAAAGCGCUGUCUAAGGUGGGGUUUAGAAAGCGCUUUUUGAAAGCGCUGUCUAAGGCAUACCUUAGAAAGCGCUUUCCACAAAAGCGCUGUCUAAGGUCUAAUAAAAAUAAAAUUUCAGACCUUAGCGCUUUCGUUGUCUGUUCAUUUGUUUUCCCUCUUCUUCACUCACGCAGUCGUAACCUUCUUCUCCUCAGUCUCCAACAGCCAUAACCUUCUUCUCCAAAACACGACAUCACGCAUAUCACCCUAUUUUCCUUCAACUUCCGAAAACCCUAGUUUCUGCCUUCAAGGGUCCCUCCGCCGUCACCCGCCGCACUCGCCUCUCACCUCCGAACCUCCGCCGUCACCCAAACAAUCAAAGGUUGCAGCGCAAGGAGACACUUGAAUACGGUACGUUCUGCUCUAAUGCACUUCCUCUUCUUCCAUUGUCAAUUACAAUAAGAAAAAUUAAUGAACUCAGUGGGAUUUCUGUCAUAGAAUGAAGUUAGAAUGUUGGAGUGUUCUUGGAUUUGUUACUGCAAUAGUUUCUUUCUUUUAUACUUGUUGCAGUUGUAUGUUUUGCCUAUGUUAAUUGCUCUGCUUGAAUGGACCCGUUGUUGUUUAUUAUAGCCUUGUAUGUGUGCAAUUAGAUCCAUGGCUGAACGUAUNUGAUACUGAACUAUUGGUUCUAAACCAUCUCUCCUGAUUACUCAAGAAUUUCAAAUUCUGUUCUCGCAUAUUCUUCGUAAACCAUCUUUCAUUUAGAUAUUUCCAAUCCUUUUUCUUGGUUUGGGAAGUCAAAAGUAUCCUUGACAUCUCUUCAUCUGGAGAAAAUUCUUGAUGUGAAAACACAGGAUCCUGUUGGAAUAGCAAAAAGAGUGGAUCUGGGGGGUUCCAAAUGAAUUGGCUUAUUUGAAAAAACCCUUGUUCGUUGGAAGAUCUCACUCGUGUCUGGUCCUGCAUGGUUCCAUCCUGCAAGACCUCCGAAUCAUUAUCAUCUUUGUCCUGAAAUGACCCUUCCCAAUAGGCAAAUCUCAAUUCAUUGGACCCUUCGUCAAAGAGAAAGCCCCAAGGGCGCCACAGUCUAGGAGCCCAAAGUAUGGAAUUGAAUAAAUCCUCCUCUAGCGGUUGCGUGUCGAGGACUCCUUCCCCUUCUUCGAACCCCGAUUCAUAGAUUUCAUAGAGAAAUCUAUGAUCAACGAUAGAAGAAAACCCAUUUUGAAUCAUAUUUAAGGGAUUUCUUGGUUCGGACCGAAGAAGCAAUGGCACUCCAUCAUUAUCCAACCGACUUCCUGUCUCGGAGGGUCCCAGCAGAGCACCUUCUAUUUCUAAUAGCCCAUGAACUAGAUCAGAAUCAUUCUCAAGGAGUCUAUAAGAAGUGAUCCCAUCAUUGUUUUCAUUAAGUCCGGGUAGAGACAAAAAGUCUUGAGCGACCGAUCCGGCAGAACAACUCAAAAGAUAAAGAAGUAUAGUUAAUUUCUUCAUGCUUGUUCCAAUCGACGCGUAACCAUUUGUACAAAUAAGAAUCCCCCUCCUGACACGAUGUCUUCUUCAUAUAGAUAGAUAUAGGAUCUAUAGAGCAAUUACUUAGAAGUAGAUUUUGUGAAACAGCCCUCCUAGCUGAUAAACAAGGAUCCCAUGAUCCUGAAUCUCUAUUAUCUGAGAUCUAAAAUCCCAAGUUUGUCUAUGAAGAGCAGAUCUAAUUAUAUUAGUGUCUAUAAUAGAUUUCUUUUGUAUAAUACUAAUUGAUAGCGCCUCGUUAGUAAGUGCUACAAGAUCUGGUACAUUAGAACCCAAAGUUAGAGACCCCAAUCGAUUAGUAUUGAACAUUUGCUUUUCCAAGUGAAAUCCCCUAGUAUAUGAAAGAGUAAAAAAGUGCUUUUUUUGUUGUGGAAUAAGAAGCCUUCGUAUCUUAAUGCAUUUGUUUAAUUUAUUUGGCGCUAUUAAAGAAGGGUCUACUUUUUUUGGAACAUGGGUAGAAGCAAUAACAAGAUUAUUGCUAGUAGAACCUUUUUCAGAAUCUCUGGAAAGAGAGUUCACUAAUAUACCCAGCGAUAAGUCAUCUGACUCAUUCCUAUCGAGAUCAUGAAUGUUUGGAAUCCAAAUUAUGCAAGGAGACAUUGCUUUUACUAAUUCGAAUUGAAGUCUUAAAUAAAACCGGUCUAGUUCGUCUUCUGGUAUGAUAUCGCUAGAUAUCAGAUCCUUCAUACUUAGAAACUUCAAUCGCCUAUCAAGCUUAUGGUCGAAACCGUCACUAUCAUCCCUUUCAUAAUUAUGGAGAUUAUAACAACUACCCUCGGUAUCAGGUAAAAGACUGUAAAUGGUACCCUCUCUUUCAUAAAAAAGAUCCUCCUCAUUAUAAUCCGUAUCAAAACCCUUAGGAAAGUUCUCCAGGCCCUUGUUUACAAAUACUGUAAUGAAAGGAACAUAUGAGGUUGUCGCUAGAGAUUUGAGCAAAUAAGAUUGUCCAGUUGCUAGCGAACCUAUCACUAAAAUACCCCCAGCAGGGGAUAAGGCUAAGCAUAGCGAAAAGGGUUUCCCAUGAGAUGGGAAAUACAAACAACUAAGCCCACACGAGAUUUCUGAAUAAGUGAUUGUCUGAUAAUGAGCGAGGAAUACCCGUCUUUCUGCUAAGCAGGAUGGAUUGAACUCAUAAUUCAUUAGAUCCUUUUGAUGAAUGUCAAUUAAAUAUUUUAAGUAUAUUGUUCCUGGUUGCUCAAUCAUUUGAUAACUAGAGUUAUUCUUUGAUAACUCAUCACUAUUAGUCAGACUCACUAAAAUUUGAUCCAUCUUUUUUUCUGUCGUUAAGGUAGAGAACUGAAGUAAGAAUUCUCGUUCUUUAUCAGCAAUCAACUCACUAUUCGAGAUCCAGGAUUCUAUUUUAUCAUUAAUCCAAUCACCACUAUUCAUCCUUUUUCUUUUCUUUAUCAAUGAAUAUAUUGUUUUACUUGUAUGACUUAAAUGUCUCGUAUUUUUCAAAAACGCGAUUCGAUUGAUGGGAUUUGGUAUAAUACUUCUGAGAUCCAUGAGAUUAAAACCUUUACCCCUUGCGGUGGUUCUGCCAGAAGGCGAACCUCCUCUUUCUUCUAGAAAAUUUCCGAAUUGUUCUAGAGCAACUUCAAAAAUAGACUUUAACCAGAAAGAAUUUGUUCUGAUGUAAGAUACCUAUCCAGAAGUUUUCGCAAUUCAAUGAUGUAGGAUGGAAUCAUCAAAGAUUUGACCUGUUCGAACUGCUUCUGUAACUCGUUAGAGAAUCCAGAAACACAGACAAGAUGUGCAUAAACUAAAUAUAAUUAAAAAAGUAAAUAAUUGGUAUAUUUUAUAUUUAGUAUCUCUUUCAAAAAUGGAAUGGUUUCAUUAUUUUAAUUAUAUUUUUUUUAUUUUUUUAUAUUUGGGCUUAGCUUUGAAUCUUUCGUGAUUGCUUCAGUGUAUUCUCAUUUUGGUGUAGUAGCAAACACUGAAUCUUACAGAUGCUUAGCGGAUCCUCACCGCUACCAUAUACCUUUUUGUACACAAGUUAUUAACCAUUUUAAUAAAAGGACUAUAACAUCAAAUAUUCAAUACAUAAACCAUUUAUUCAUAUUCAGGAGCGAAUUCUUCUCAGAGCCUUUUUGUAGUCAGUAUAAACUCAUAGGAAAAUAAAUCACCAAUGAGCACAAUAAUUCAGCAAUUCAGCAAAAUGAAAAUAUCCGACAAUAUCACUAUUAAGAAAAACAAUUGAUACAAAAAAAUGAUUAAAUAUUUAAAAUAUCAAAGAAUUACUAAACAUUCAACUAAAAUUCAAGUUCAAUUCAUUCCAUUUCGCAAUCUAUUCAAGGCAAAGUUCACUGAUACCUUACGUUUAGGGUGUCGCUCCAAAGUCAUGCUUUGACUGUAGCAUAGCUUAUUGAGCCCAAAGUUGAGUAUUUGUUCAAAAAUUUACAUUACAAUAUACUUAAAUAGUUGAUGCCAUUAUCAUCAUCGAAUAUUGUCCCAUAUAUGAUCCCACUCAUUAAAUUGCCAGGAAUUGGAUUUCAUUCUUAUACAAAGUCACUACAAAGUCAGGACUUUGACAUUUGUUGGCAACCUGACUCCAACUCAUGGACAUUUGAAAAUAUUGGUUGUAUGUGAUUUAUCAAUAGAUUAAAAUAAAAUUGGAAGGUACUUGCUCAUAAAUUGUCGCAAAAUUUUUUGAAAUUUUUCUAAAGUCAUUGAAAAAUACUAGUUCUAAAACUACCAAACUUUCAAGGCCUAACUUGUUUGUCCAAGCCACAUUCUUCCAAGUUCAAUUAAAGGGUCUUACUUCAUACUCUCAACUUGUCUCUUGAUGAUUUAUUCAAAAAUCUAAUUAGAUCCAUAUUAGCAUGAUAGUUGAUACAUAAAAUUUGAAAACUAGAAAAAUUGCAACUUUCUCACAAAAGUAUACGGAUAUCAUCCAAAAGCCAUUGACAUAGAAAAACUCCAACAAGAAAAUAAGUAUAUAUAGUAGGGUCAGCUCCAAGACGUUCAAGAGCAGAAGUGCAUGGUGUGUGUUAGUAAGGAGGUUUAAAAGAGGGAGGUUGGCUAAAUUCUGAUGUGGCUAUGGUAUGCAUUGGCAAGGUUCGCAUGACCUGGGCCAGUACAUAAUUACUGUGCGGCUAGCUGUUGUUCUAAUCACUCUAGAGAUGAUCACCCUACAAUCUUAGUUGAGCCCUUGAGCCAUGUCAUGACCAAGCCUCGACUAAAUGUAAUCAUUGAGGGCAUUAAGGUACUAAAUUCCGUGGAAAGUGCUGGUAAUAACCAAUAUAUAGGCAGUGGGCGUCCAUAUAUGGUGUGUACGAUUAACAUCUAACCUCAACAAACUGCGACACUCAUCUCCAAACACUAGCUUCUAACAACGACCUCAGCACCCAUGGCUGUGCCCAUGCGUCAGAGGGGUGUCAAGAAGCAAGUCAAGAAUCAACCUAGGACGCACAGCUAGUAAGAUUCUGGGAAGGCUGCAUCCUCUAAGGUAGCAUUAAUAGAUGGACAAAGCAGGGAUUAUUACCAACCAUCCAACUAACACAUAAGCUAAAACGUGUUAUUGGGGCAAGGUGGCCCGAACCCCUCAGGUGCUUUUCGGGGCGUGCGGCGCAAACAAGGGUGCAUACGGAGGUUACGCUAAAAUAAAUAAAAGAUAAAUAAUAACGAGAGGAUACUUAAGAAUGGCUGGACUGAAAUGAGGAAGCAGUGGGACCUGUCCGCCAGGAGGGUGCCACCGUGGCGAACAAGACAGCAGAUAUGGCAGGGGAUCUUGGAAGAAUUUAAGAAGGAGAUGUAAAGGAGCUUAACGACAGCCAUGGGCUGUGUUAAGAAAGUGAAGGUGCAGACCUGAAGUGCCGUCGGAGGGGUCGCGGCAGCUGAGCGUGAUAGAGCUAAAAACAAGCGGUUAGCCAGGGGGCGACGGGGCGAUUAUUACAGUAGGUAGGCUAAAUUGGCCAAGUAAAUAAGAAAGAAGUAAAAGGAUUGAAAACAGGAACUCCUCAAUAUUUAGUGAUCUCAGAUGGAAUGGUGACUCAUUAUUUGUGUGAAAAAGAUCUUCGUACACGUCUAUAACAAAAUUAUGUAAACACUUACUCGAAAUCUCACUUAUACGGUUCCGUUGUGCAAUUUCCCGAAGAAUUGCCUUGGCUCCAUGUAAAAAAUUACUAGGAGAAAAAAUAGAUACAAAUUUUUUCCAUUCAGGACUCUUCCUUAGUAUUACAACUAGAUCCCAAAAAGUCUCUAUAAAUGGUAAAAGUAGAGUUUGUUGCCCUGUCCAGGUAAGGAGCGACGGUAUUAUAUACGGGUACAAUCGCUUCAAUUUGGAUAUAAAAAUUGAAAAACAACUCUUUCUUUGAAAGUUUCUAUACAUCUGCCCUUUUUUAAAGAAUUUUUUUAGAGGUUUUUUUCUCUUUUCGGAUGGUAAAAUUUUAUCAGAGUAUAGAGUAUAUAGAGUGACUUACUCGAAAUCUCACUUAUACGGUUCCGUUGUGCAAUUUCCCGAAGAAUUGCCUUGGCUCCAUGUAAAAAAUUACUAGGAGAAAAAAUAGAUACAAAUUUUUUCCAUUUAGGACUCUUCCUUAGGAUUACAACUAGAUCCCAAAAAGUCUCUAUAAAUGGUAAAAGUAGAGUUUGUUGCCCUGUCCAGGUAAGGAGCGACGGUAUUAUAUACGGGUACAAUCGCUUCAAUUUGGAUAGAAAAAUUGAAAAACAUCUCUUUCUUUGAAAGUUUCUAUACAUCUGCCCUUUUUUAAAGAAUUUUUUUAGAGGUUUUUUUCUCUUUUCGGAUGGUAAAAUUUUAUCAGAGUAUAGAGUAUAUAGAGUGUCACGCAAAUCAGUGUCGAGCAAAUCGAUGUUUGAAUCGAAAUCCAAAUAUUUAUGCAACUUCUUCCAUUUUGGAUCAUAGAGAUUAAUAGCGGAAAGAGGUUGACAAGAAGUUCUUUCAAAAUUCACUAUUUCUUCCUCUGUUAGCAGGUGUUCCAGAAAUGUCCGCGAUCGAGUAAAUAGCUCUAGGAACGCGAGUUGGAAAAUGGAAAGAUUUGUACAACUCAUAUCCGUCAUCACCACUUUGCGGAAAAGUAUUUGCUAUCAAUAUGUUAGAGACCUCUAACUCGCUUGGUGAAAUAGUAUCUCUGUCCAAAAAAGCAUGUUUUUUUUCCCGCCGCACAAAGAAAAUAUUUUCUUUCCACUGAACAAGACAUUGAGGAAUUGUUCAUACAGAAAAUCAUAAUUACAGGACCUUUCCCCAUAAAAAGAGAAUCUUUUGUUACAAUCGAAAGAGAAUUUAUAUUGAUUAUUCAAUAAUCGAAGUCGAUUGACUUUAUAAAAAGAAGAAAUCAAUGAACUUCCAUGAAAGCAUUUCACAGGAUUUAGCCAAUUGUCUUGAUUUGCUAUCUCAUUGAUCCAUAAUUUAGAUUUUUGAGAAGUAUAAUAGUCAUCCAAUAAUAGGGGUUUCCUUUUUUUCAAAUGAACCAUUUGCAGACCUAUUGAUUCUAAUAACUGAUUCCCGAGUGCAUCAUUCAUCUGUUUCAAUUCAUCCAUAUGGAUCUGGGACCUAUGAAUGGACAUACUUCCGAAACUCACAAAGAAAAAAGGAAGUGAGUUCGACAAAAGGGGAAAAAGCUUGGACAAAAACAAACAAAGUGACAUAGAAAAAUCUUUUUUGUCGAUAACCUCAGACCAAUCAAUCGGAUCUGCAUUCAUAUGCAAUCGAUCAAACACUACCUGAAAACGACUAUUCUGCUCAUAAAUGAAAUGGUCCAAAUGUUCCUGGAAAUUCUUGCUCCCCUUAGACCGUUUGUAUUUAUAUCUAUUUGGAUCCUUCUUCACAGAUCUCUCGGUUCGAUAAAUUAAAAUAAGAUAAUCAAAGCAUUUCUUCUGACUCUUUUUCAAAUUUGAGAAACGUUGAUUGAUCAUUUGUUUCCUUAUAGGUAUACAAUUCAUAAUAUCAUUUUCAUACCUUUGAAUUACAUAUUCUAAGUUGCGAUUGAAUCGAUUAUCUUGAAAAUAAUUCCUUCCCACAAGAGGUCUGGACCCAUUUUUUUGAUCCUUGGAGAAAACAAUUCAUUCGCUUCGUAAAAAACCCGAGGCAGACCAAUAAGAUUUCUUUUUUGAUUCAUCCCUGGAGUUGAAUACCUCAUUUACGAAUUGUUUAUCAUCACAUCUAGAAAAAUCAAUAGAAAAGAGAAUCCAUUACGAUACACCAGAUCCGGCUUAGUUAUUGAGAGAUUGAAUAGAUUUGCCAUUUCUUGAAAUCUCUCUUCUGAAACUAGAUUUUGGUUCAAGAAUAAAAUAUGAUUUUGAACUGUAAAAAGUUUAUCCUUUGCAAUCCUAUCACAUCCUCGAUCGGAUGAAAUAGGAUGAAUUGGACAUUAUUUUGUAAAUACGAUUAUAUUCACGAUAUUGGCUAUUUCUUUAUUUUCCGAUUGCCUCGAAAGAACAAAAGAAACAUCUUCUUUCUGAAAUAAUUUAGGAUCUCGAGCGGACUUCUCAGUAGGAUUCAAAUCCAGCAGAUGACGUUCUGACCAUAUGUCCGCCAAAAAAGAGCAAUUAUCUCUCUCAGAGAUAUUUUUUCUUUUGGACCAGACAGGAGCGGAACAAUAAACCCAUUCAGAACCAACCUAUUGGAAUCUUUUGAGUCUUCCAAUGUGGAUCCAAUGGAAUUCAUUUGGAUCGGAAGAAGCCCGUCAAAUAAAUAUUUUUUUUUCGAUCAUCCUUCGAUUGUUAAUACGAUAUAUAAGAUCGCUACUACAAAAGUACUAGAUUCUUGAUCGUGAAAUAUCUUGUUAAACCGCGUGAAACUAGGAUACUCCAAAUUCUGGAGUCUAAGAGUUUAUCAAACUCUCUUGAUGGAAAAAAAUGUGAAUCACAGAUAUCGCUGAAUUGAAUUGGGUCCAGGAAUCUGAGAAAUAGGCAGAAUUCUUGCUCUCUCUAAAAAUUUCUCUCAAUUCUAAAAUCCAAAUGUCUACUUCAUUCUUCUUCAUAGAAUAGGAUACUCCAUUUUUACAAAUUGAUCUAUUCUUUUUUUUUUUUCUAUUUCUUUUUUUUCUAUAUUUAUUAUAUAUAUAUGUAUUUAUAUUGAUUUAUCCAAAAGAUUUCACUUCAAUUGAAAUUUGGUUAGUGAUGAAGUCGGAGGGUUCCCUCGAAGCAUCCAUGGCUGAAUGGUUAAAGCGCCCAACUCAUAAUUGGAGAAGUCGUAGGUUCAAUUCCUACUGGAUGCAUGCCAAUAGAAAUCUCCCCCACGAACAAACUCGAUUUUGGUUAAAAAAUCAAAACAGUAUCUUCAUUACAUAUUAAUUAUAUCUUAUCCUACUGGACUAUGUCUUUAUUUUCAAACUAGUCAACAAAAAGAACUCGGAAAAAAAUGUAAAUACACAUACAUAGACAAAUUAAAAGAAGAAUGGCCAAUUCAUAAAGAAUUAUAUAAUAAUUGUUAUUCAAAAACAAAGAAUAAUAUUUUAUAUAAAGCAUUCUGGAGCUGGAGUUAAUAAGUGAUUUUGUAAAACGAAACACUACUAACUUAAUGAACAACCAAAGAACAUAGGAUCGCAAGAAUCUGAAGAAUCUAAUAGAAUUAAUAGAAUUCAAAAUUUUGUUUAAUUUUCUUCUGAUUCCUCCUAGCCAGAUACGAAAGUUUUUUAGCAUAAUAUUUUAUUUCCUUUUAUUUCAAUGGAUCUUAUCAUUUAUAUAUACAUGAUUUUUUUAAAUGCAUUUUGCUAAUAUUGCAAAAUAUUUAUUUCCUUUUAUUUCCAUUCAUCUUAUCAUUUAUAUAUACAUACAUGAUUUUGUUAAAUGGAUUUUCCAUUAGCAUAAUAUUUUGUUUCCUUUUAUUUCCAUUCAUCUUAUUAUUUUAUAUCAUACAUGAUUUUGUUAAAUGGAUUUUCCUAAUACCUGAGUAUAUUUAUAUACUAUCUUAAGAAUUACGGUUAGUCAAGUGACUAGCAUUGACUAACCUUAACUCUAUUGACUAUCUCUAUAAGAUAAGAACCUUGGAAAAAGAAAAAACAAAACGAACAGCAGAAAAGAAGAUAAGAUAAGAAUAAAUUCACAAAAAUACCGUGUCCUUAUUUUGACACAAAGUAGCUGACAAUCAGAACAAAGAAAAUAGCCAAAUAGCAAACCAAAAUAUAGUGCAAAAAUAAGGUAUAAUUCCAAAAUAAGGACAAAAAGAAAAUGACAAAGCACGAACAAGCCAUAUUUAGAUUUUACGAGAAUACUAUAGACGAAUGCCUUAAUGAAGAACCAACCAAAGAAGAUAGAAUUGCCAGAAGUGAAAAGAACGCAUAAAAUGAAGAAGUAUUUUCAUUAUUUUUCUGAUUCCUCUUAGAACCUUCUGAAUUUUUUUGAUUUGAACUCCUAGAAAAUUCUCAAUUUUUUUGAUUUGAGCUGCUAGAAAAUUAUGAAUGUUUUUGCUUUGAGCUCCUAGAAAAUUAUGAAUUGAAAUGAAAAUUGAAAUCAAAAGGGAAAUCAAAAUCGAAAUGAAAAAGAUUCUAAUUGUUCCUAUUAAUCUUAACCAGUCAGAAAGAAGGAGAAAAAAUAAUGCAAAAUUAAUAACAACAUAGAUACAGUUUGCAUACGAAUAUAAAAAAAUAGCUUAAUAAAGAACCAAAGAAUAUAGAAUCGCGAGAAUUUAAUAGGACUCAUAAAAUUCUGAAUUUUGUUUAAUUUUCUUCUGAUUCUUCCUAUUGCUCCUAUUGUUUUUAUUUUUGAUUCUUCGUAGCGUCGUGAUAAUGUUGUCCAUUCGAUCCUCCUAUUGUGAUCUAUUUUGAAUUAAUUGUAAAUGUGCAUGAACAUUAUGAAUAAUAUGAAACUAGAAAAAGUAUUCACAAUGUGUUUUUUUUUUAAUCCAUCAAAAAUGAGAUAGAAUAGCUUCAACCUUGUCAACCGAAAAUGAGAAAAUGAAAUCGGGGUAAACACCAAUACCUAUUAUGGGUAUAAGGAUAGAAAUAGAAAUAAAUAAUUCUCUGGGCCCAGAAUCAAAAAAUAAGAGUUUGGUGUAUUCAAAAACUUAUAUCCAUAGAACAUCUGCCGUACGAUUGAUAAUAAAUAAAUCGAAGUUAAUAUCAUUCCAAUUGCUGUUACAAAAGUAAUUAGUAUUUUCAUCAUGAAAAGAUUUUUUGACUACUAAUUAUUCCAAAAAAAACUAUCAAUUCUGCAACAAAACCGCUCAUGCCAGGCAAUGCAAGAGAAGCCAUUGAUAAGAUAGUAAAAAUUGUGAAUAUUUUUGGCAUUGGGAUAGCCAUUCCGCCCAUUUCGUCAAGAUAAAGAAGAUGCACUCUAUCAUAACUAGUUCCUGCCAAGAAAAAAAGUGCAGCGCCAAUAAAUCCAUGAGAUAUGAUUUGUAAAAUGGCCCCGUUGAGACCAGUAUCACUUAUGGAACCAAUUCCUAUAAUUAGAAAACCCAUAUGAGAUACCGAAGAAUAAGCUAUUCUUUUUUUAGAUUACGUUGACCAAAAGAUGUUGAAGCGGCAUAGAUUAUUUGAAUAGAACCUAAUAUCAUUAACCAGGGGCAAAAUAUGGAAUGAGCGUGGGAAACCAAUUCCAUAUUAAUUCGAACCAACCCAUAUGCUCCCAGUUUUAAUAAUAUGCCGGCUAAAAGCAUACAAGUGCUGUAAUGUGCCUCUCCGUGGGUAUCUGGUAACCAUGUAUGUAAGGGUAUAAUUGGCGAUUUGACAGCAAAGAAAAUCAGAAAUGCCGUAUAGAAUAUUAUUUCUAGUGCCACGGGAUACGAUCGAUUAAUUAAUGUUUCAAAAUUAAAUGUUGGUUUAUUAGAGCCAUAUAAACCGAUACCCAGAAUUCCCAUUAAUAAAAAAACAGAAGCUCCUGCAGUGUACAAAAUAAACUUAGUAGCAGAGUAGAAACGUUUCUUUCCCCCCAGAUGGAUAAAAGUAGAUAAACGGGGAUUAAUUCCAAUUCCCACAUGAUGAAAAAAAGUAAAAUGUCUCGAGAAGAAAAUGGUCCUAUUUGACCGCUAUACAUUGCUAACAUCAGGAAAUAGAAUAAUUGGUAUUCUCGAGUAACCGGCUGAGCCGCUAAAGUGGCUAAAGUAGUUAUAAAUCCUGUUAGUAAAAUGGGUCCUAUAGAGAGUCCAUCUAUUCCUAAUCUCCAGUCAAAAUCAAAAAAAUGGAUCCAUUUAUAAUUCUCCGUCAGUUGAAUUAGUGGAUCAUCCAAUUGGAAAUGAUAAGAAAAUGCAUAGGUUGUUAGAAGGAGAUCGAUUAAGCAUAUACAAAUGCUAUACCACCUAAUUACCUUAUUUCCCCUAUGAGGAAAUAAGAAAAUUAAGGAACCUGCGGCUAUUGGCAAAACAACAACGAUUGUUAACCAAGGAAAAUAAUUCGUGAUAAAAAUAAGAUACACUUGGGCCAGAAAAGCCCGUGCUCAAAAUAGAAAAAAAAGAUUUUCUAUUUUAUUUGGAGCACGAGUUUUUGCCAGUAAAAAACGUAUUCGUGUGGUGUUGUUUGAAACGAAUCAAUAAGCUAGACCCAUACUUCGAGUUGUUUCAUGCCAUAAAUAAACUCGAACACUUAAGAAAUCCGUCGGACAAGCGGACUCACACCUCUUACAACCAACACAGUCCUCUGUUCUUGGGGCAGAAGCUAUUUGCUUAGCUUUACAUCCACCCAAGGUAUCAUUUCUAAUACAUCUGUGGGACAGGCUCGGACACAUUGAGUACAUCCUAUACAUGUAUCAUAAAUCUUUACUGAAUGUGACAUUAUAUCUAUAGUAAUUGUUGAUGUUCAAAAAUGAAAAUUAUUGAUCUAGUAAACUCGUAAAUGAAUCGUAUAUUUAUAUACCAGAUGAAUCAAUGAUUUGUGAUAAUAUUGUUAACUGUUAAUAAAAAAAGGUGUCUAGAUAAAUUUAGAAGAGGGAAUAGAAGAGGACCAGGAUACUUUGAUUUCUUAUGAUUUAGGCAAUCCAAACAUGAUAUGAUCAUAAGUUGUGUCGAAUAAAUACUCAAAUGAAUUGAUUAAUAUUUCACUAUGUGAAAUUCGACUUUAUUAUUAAUUAUGAUAGGAUUAAUGCUAUUUAUUCAACAAAUUCGAUUGAUUGAUACGGGUUGAUUUUCUGUUACGAGCAAUUGAAGAAACAAUAGCCAGUCCGAUAGCCGCUUCAGCGGCUGCAAUAGCUAUAACAAAAAUUGAAAAAAUAUUUCCUUUUAAUUGGCGAUUAUCAAAAAAAUCAGAAAAAGUUACUAGAUUUAUAUUAACUGCAUUCAGUAUAAGUUCAAGACACAUAAGGGCUCUAACCAUAUUUCGGCUCGUGAUCAAUCCAUAGAUACCAAUAGAAAAUAAAUAGGCACUCAAAACAAGUACAUGUUCGAGCAUCAUUGACCAACUCCUUAUAAAUUUUGAUUCAUUAACAAAUAUAUCGGCAAUAAAAAAAAGAAUCUUGAUAAAACUCUUUCACUUCACAUAGAAUUCGACAGAAAUGAAUGUGAUAAAAUUGAAAAAAAAAAAGAAAAAUAAUAAAAAGACUGUUCUUAUUCAAAACGCCCUGUGAUCUUCAACCAAUUUUGUGCCUCAAUAUAAUUACCAGGGGUAAGGGCUAUAGCUUGUUUCCAAUAUUCAGCAGCUUGAUCAAACCAAGAUUCUGCAAUUUCAGAAUCUCCCUGUCGAAUGGCCUGUUCUCCGCGGUCGGAAUAGGUGAGUAAAAUCCUUCCCUUAGAACCGUACUUGAGAGUUUCCUGACUCAUACGGCUCAACAGUCAAUUCUUUUGAUCUUCCAUGGAGUUAAUAACAAGAAAAAGGUUAAUUACAUGAGUUUCAAACUUGCCUUUGGAUUAAUAAUUCAAUUUAAUCGUUUGUUUUUAGUUUUAUCUUUUCUCCUACCUUCUGAAGAAUAAAGCAUCGAUAUUAACACUAACGCUCUUAUUCUCAUUUUCUGAAAGGUAACUAUCUCGAUUUCAUAUAUCAUUUCAUAUAUAAUAUAUCUAUUUCUAUAGAAUCUUUGAGAAAGACUUUUCUUCAUAAGAAAAGACUUACUAUCUUUGGGAUCUGAUACUACACCGCUGCUCAAAACCUUAGGGGAUCAACUUUAUUACAUAAGUUGAUUUCUAAUCUAUCAUCAUAUAAGUAAGCAGUUCUUGUUGUAUCGGCCAAAAACCUUGUUAAUUGAUCUUUACGGUGCUUCCUCUAUCAAUUAGAUCUUUUAUCCAUAGAAAAAAGUAUCUAGGCAUAUAUAUUCUAUUUCUUCAUAUUUUUACUUCUAUGAAGUUUCUUUCAUACAGCUCAUAAAAAUCGUUGUUUCGAACGAUAUCUAUGUAACUUAAUUCUAAAUUUGGUUGAAUUAAUGAAGAACCAAAGAAUAUAGAAUCGCGAGAAUUUACUAGGACUCAUCAUCUUCUGAAUUUUGUUUAAUUUUCUUCUGAUUCUUCCUAUUGCUCCUAUUAUUUUUAUUUUGAUUCUCCGUAGCGUCGUGAUAAUGUAAUCCAUUGGAUAUUCUUCUCCUGAUCUCUUUUCGAAGAUCUCUUAUUAAAUUAAUGUGAAUUAACUUAAUUCUAAAUUUGGUUGAAUUAAUGAGUUGAAAAAGUCUUUGAAUUAAUUGUAUAAUAAUUUUGUUUAAUUUUCUUCUGAUUCUUCCUAUUGCUCCUAUUGUUUUUAUUUUGAUUCUUCGUAGCGUCGUGAUAAUGUUAUCCAUUCGAUCCUCCUAUUGUGAUCUAUUUUGAAUUAAUUGUAAAUGUGCAUGAACAUUAUGAAUAAUAUGAAACUAGAAAAAGUAUUCACAAUGUUUUUUUUUAAUCCAUCAAAAAUGAGAUGGAAUAGCUUCAACCUUGUCAACCGAAAAUGAGAAAAUGAAAUCGGGGUAAACACCAAUACCUAUUAUGAGUAUAAGGAUACAAAUAGAAAUAAAUAAUUCUCUGGGCCCAGAAUAAAAAAAAUUAGAGUUUGGUGUAUUCAAAAACUUAUAUCCAUAGAACAUCUGCCGUACGAUUGAUAAUAAAUAAAUCGAAGUUAAUAUCAUUCCAAUUGCUGUUACAAAAGUAAUUAGUAUUUUCAUCAUGAAAAGAUCAUUUUUGACUACUAAUUAUUCCAAAAAAACUAUCAAUUCUGCAACAAAACCGCUCAUGCCAGGCAAUGCAAGAGAAGCCAUUGAUAAGAUAGUAAAAAUUGUGAAUAUUUUUGGCAUUGGGAUAGCCAUUCCGCCCAUUUCGUCAAGAUAAAGAAGAUGCCACUCUAUCAUAACUAGUUCCUGCCAAGAAAAAAAGUGCAGCGCCAAUAAAUCCAUGAGAUAUGAUUUGUAAAAUGGCCCCGUUGAGACCAGUAUCACUUAUGGAACCAAUUCCUAUAAUUAGAAAGCCCAUAUGAGAUACCGAAGAAUAAGCUAUUCUUUUUUUUAGAUUACGUUGACCAAAAGAUGUUGAAGCGGCAUAGAUUAUUUGAAUAGAACCUAAUAUCAUUAACCAGGGGCAAAAUAUGGAAUGAGCAUGGGAAACCAAUUCCAUAUUAAUUCGAACCAACCCAUAUGCUCCCAGUUUUAAUAAUAUGCCGGCUAAAAGCAUACAAGUGCUGUAAUGUGCCUCUCCGUGGGUAUCUGGUAACCAUGUAUGUAAGGGCAUAAUUGGCGAUUUGACAGCAAAAGAAAUCAGAAAUGCCGUAUAGAAUAUUAUUUCUAGUGCCACGGGAUACGAUCGAUUAAUUAAUGUUUCAAAAUUAAAUGUUGGUUUAUUAGAGCCAUAUAAACCGAUACCCAGAAUUCCCAUUAAUAAAAAAACAGAAGCUCCUGCAGUGUACAAAAUAAACUUAGUAGCAGAGUAGAAACGUUUCUUUCCCCCCCAGAUGGAUAAAAGUAGAUAAACGGGGAUUAAUUUCAAUUCCCACAUGAUGAAAAAAAGUAAAAUGUCUCGAGAAGAAAAUGGUCCUAUUUGACCGCUAUACAUUGCUAACAUCAGGAAAUAGAAUAAUUGGUAUUCUCGAGUAACCGGCUGAGCCGCUAAAGAGGCUAAAGUAGUUAUAAAUCCUGUUAGUAAAAUGGGUCCUAUAGAGAGUCCAUCUAUUCCUAAUCUCCAGUCAAAAUCAAAAAAAUGGAUCCAUUUAUAAUUCUCCGUCAGUUGAAUUAGUGGAUCAUACAAUUGGAAAUGAUAAGAAAAUGCAUAGGUUGUUAGAAGGAGAUCGAUUAAGCAUAUACAAAUGCUAUACCACCUAAUUACCUUAUUUCCCCUAUGAGGAAAUAAGAAAAUUAAGGAACCUGCGGCUAGGAAAUGAUAAGAAAAUGCAUAGGUUGUUAGAAGGAGAUCGAUUAAGCAUAUACAAAUGCUAUACCACCUAAUUACCUUAUUUCCCCUAUGAGGAAAUAAGAAAAUUAAGGAACCUGCGGCUAUUGGAAAAACAACAACGAUUGUUAACCAAGGAAAAUAAUUCGUGAUAAAAAUAAGAUACACUUGGGCCAGAAAAGCCCGUGCUCAAAAUAGAAAAAAAAGAUUUUCUAUUUUAUUUGGAGCACGAGUUUUUGACAGUAAAAAACGUAUUCGUGUGGUGUUGUUUGAAACGAAUCAAUAAGCUAGACCCAUACUUCGAGUUGUUUCAUGCCAUAAAUAAACUCGAACACUUAAGAAAUCCGUCGGACAAGCGGACUCACACCUCCUACAACCAACACAGUCCUCUGUUCUUGGGGCAGAAGCUAUUUGCUUAGCUUUACAUCCACCCCAAGGUAUCAUUUCUAAUACAUCUGUGGGACAGGCUCGGACACAUUGAGUACAUCCUAUACAUGAUAGCUUUACAUCCACCCCAAGGUAUCAUUUCUAAUACAUCUGUGGGACAGGCUCGGACACAUUGAGUACAUCCUAUACAUGUAUCAUAAAUCUUUACUGAAUGUGACAUUAUAUCUAUAGUAAUUGUCGAUGUUCAAAAAUGAAAAUUAUUGAUCUAGUAAACUCGUAAAUGAAUCGUAUAUUUAUAUACCAGAUGAAUCAAUGAUUUGUGAUAAUAUUGUUAACUGUUAAUAAAAAAAGGUGUCUAGAUAAAUUUGGAAGAGGGAAUAGAAGAGGACCAGGAUACUUUGAUUUCUUAUGAUUUAGGCAAUCCAAACAUGAUAUGAUCAUAAGUUGUGUCGAAUAAAUACUCAAAUGAAUUGAUUAAUAUUUCACUAUGUGAAAUUAGACUUUAUUAUUAAUUAUGAUAGGAUUAAUGCUAUUUAUUCAACAAAUUCGAUUGAUUGAUACGGGUUGAUUUUCUGUUACGAGCAAUUGAAGAAACAAUAGGCAGUCCGAUAGCCGCUUCAGCGGCUGCAAUAGUUAUAACAAAAAUUGAAAAAAUAUUUCCUUUUAAUUGGCGAUUAUCAAAAAAAUCAGAAAAGGUUACUAGAUUUAUAUUAACUACAUUCAGUAUAAGUUCAAGACACAUAAGGGCUCUAACCAUAUUUUGGCUCGUGACCAAUCCAUAGAUACCAAUAGAAAAUAAAUAGGCACUCAAAAUAAGUACAUGUUCGAGCAUCAUUAACCAACUCCUUAUAAAUUUUGAUUCAUUAACAAAUAUAUCGGUAAUAAAAAAAAGAAUCUUGAUAAAACUCUUUCACGUCACAUAGAAUUCGACAGAAAUGAAUGUGAGAAAAUUGAAAAAAAAAAAAGAAAAUAAUAAAAGACUGUUCUUAUUCAAAACGCCCUGUGAUCUUCAACCAAUUUUGUGCCUCGAUAUAAUUACCAGGGGUAAGAGCUAUAGCUUGUUUCCAAUAUUCAGCAGCUUGAUCAAACCAAGAUUCUGUAAUUUCAUAAUCUCCCUAUCGAAUGGCCUGUUCUCCGCGGUUGGAUUAGGUGAGUAAAAUCCUUCCCUUAGAACCGUACUUGAGAGUUUCCUGUCUCAUACAGCUCAAUAGUCAAUUCUUUUGAUCUUCCAUGGAGUUAAUAAUAAGAAAAGAGGUUAAUUACAUGAGUUUCAAACUUGCCUUUGGAUUAAUAAUUCAAUUUAAUCGUUUGUUUUUAGUUUUAUUUUUUCUCCUACCUUCUGAAGAAUAAAGCAUCGACAUUAACACUAACGCCCUUAUUCUCAUUUUCUGAAAGGUAACCAUCUUGAUUUCAUAUAUCAUUUCAUAUAUAAUAUAUCUAUUUCUAUAGAAUCUUUGAGAAAUACUUUUCUUCAUAAGAAAAGACUUACUAUCUUUGGGAUAUGAUACUACACCGCUGCUCAAAACCUUAGGGGACCAACUUUAUUACAUAAGUUGAUUUCUAAUCUAUCAUCAUAUAAGUAAGCAGUUCUUGUUGUAUCAGCCGAAAACCUUGUUAAUUGAUCUUUACGGUGCUUCCUCUAUCAAAUAGAUCUUUUAUCCAUAGAAAAAAGUAUCUAGGCAUAUAUAUUCUAUUUCUUCAUAUUUUUACUUCUAUGAAGUUUCUUUCCUACAGCUCAUAAAAAUCGUUGUUUCGAACGAUAUCUAUGUAGAAAGCCUAUUUCUAUUAUUUGUCUAGUAUUUAUUACUAUUAGUGGACGUUCUUUUCUUUUUUCUUUCUAUAGUGGAGAUAGUCGCACGUAAUGACAGAUCACAACCAUAUUGUUAAAAGCUUAAGGUAAGAAAGGGUUUCGUUCGAGUGCCCGAAAAUAGUAUUCCAAAGCUUUUAUAUGUUCUCUGCUACUUGUAUGGAUAAGGCCUGUGUUAUAAAGUAUAUAACUUAGAUCAUAGGGAUCAAUUUCUAGUCGCAUAGCCUCAUAAUAAUUAUGUAAAAGCUCCCGCAUAAAUUCCUUCUGAUUGAGCUAACAUCCAUUACGAUCGUCACUCAGUUCAAAGAAUCUUCGUUCCAGAACCGUAUGUGAGAUAGUCAUCUUAUACGGCUCCUCCUUUAUGUGGAUAAUGAUAAACAUCCAUGGAAUCAAAAAAGAUUGCAAUAUUCUCAUUAUCAACUGAGCGGGACUAGUGUUUUUACACGAAAUCUCUAGCCAACCUUUCUGUAAAUGAUCUUUUAUUAACAUUUAGUUAGUUAUUACUGGAUAAAUAGUAACUUCAAAAAUUUCUUUGUCCUCAAUGCCACUUAAUUUCCCGGAAUUAGUCACUUCAACAGUCUUCGAUGGUUAUAUGGGUAUCCAAAAUACGAACGAGAUGGAUGUUUGUUGUCCGAACCAUUCUAGUUAGUCCCGAUCCCGAUAAGAAGAAAGGAAGGAUUUUUUUUACAAAGUUUUCUCCUGUUGUUGAUUCCCUAGCGUAGUGCUUCUUCCCCCAUGCCGCCUAUUGGUACUAGUGGAGUAGGAUUCACCUAACCCCAUAGGUAUAUAUAGGUAUAACCUUUCGCUUAAUACUACCUAAAAUUGAAGCAUAUUGAGGUUGCGUUAAUCGGGAAUACACGAUAGAAGGCAUUAAUCAUUUUUUUUAUUUCCAAACUUCACCUUCAGCAAGCGUAGGUUUUCUUUUCAAUUUGUUUUUAUUUGUCUCUGAAGUCGGUAAAAAAAGUAAUCAAAUUUCACCAUCUCUGUAAUAAGUGAAUGCCUCUUUUUCUCCAGGAGUUGUCGGAAUUAUUCGUAAUAAGAUAUUGGCUACAAUGGUAAAGGUCUUAUCAAUAAAAUUUCCAUUUAUCCUAGAUCUAGUCAUAGGUAUCCAUUCUAUAAUUUCCUUUUUUAUCGCGUGAUAAAAAAAUUCCCCAAAUAAAGGAAUUGUACAAUACAGUACGAAAUAAAGUAAAAAUGGACUUCUUAAUCAAAUUACUUUAUUCUACGGUAGGCCUUGAAGUAGAUUUUUUUUUUUCAAAAAAAAUACAAUUUUUUUCCAUUUUUUUUAGUUUCAAUUGAUUGUGUGCGCCUAUGCAAAUGGGAUAUAAAUGGCUUACUAUUCACUCUGUUUAGGGACAUAAUCAUUAUGUAGGAGAGAUGGCCGAGUGGUUCAAGGCGUAGCACUGGAACUGCUAUGUAGGCUUUUUGUUUACCGAGGGUUCAAAUCCCUCUCUUUCCGCACCCUUACCAAAUUCAUCAAUGUUACUGACCUCAAUGUUUGAAAUAAUAAUAGAUAACGUUAUUGCAACUUUGAUAUGCAUUCUCUAUUCCUAGUUUGUUUCUAUAAUAUAGAAAAUUGUGGAUCAAGUGGGUAAGGAAUAACAAUUUUCCUACACCCACUUCUAUACACGAAUGGGGAAAAAUACUCGGACCAAAAUUCUUGUCAUUUUGACGAGGUUUAAGUCUGACGAGAAUAAUAUUCUACAACCAGCAAUUCAUUAAUUUCCAAACCAACCCAUUUACUAUCUAUUAUUUGCUUGACUAAUCCUUUAUAUUGGAAUGGAAGAAUCAAAUGGGUUGGCAAUUGUUUGCGGGGGGCUGAUUCAAGAGAAUUUUGAAUCAGAGUUCUCGAUUUUUUGUCAUCCUUGGCUGUAAUAAUAUCUUCAGGUUUACAACGAUAACUUGGUAUAUCUACUAUACGACCAUUAACUAAAACAUGUCUGUGGUUAACUAAUUGACGGGCUUGAGGAAUAGUCGCAGCCAUACCCAAUCGAAAAAGUAUGUUAUCCAAACGCCAUUUCCAGUAACUGGAGUAAAACUUCACCCGUUGACCCUUUCGCUUUUCCAGCGAUACGAACGUAUUUAAGCAAUUGUCGUUCUGUAAGACCAUAAUGAAAACGCAAUUUUUGUUUUUCUUCUAAACGAAUAUGAUAUUGAGAUUUUUUACUGGAGCGCGAUUGUUCGCUUCCAACUGGAAGCUCUUUUCUGGUUAGUCCUGGUAAAGCCCCCAGACGCCGUAUUUUUUUGAAACGAGGCCCCCUGUAACGUGACAUAAACCCUCCUUUUUUAAAUGGAAAAUUUCAUAAAGAAAAAUUAAAACUAAACUAAAUGACAAAUAUUAUAAAUGAAGUGAAAUCUACUUAAAGUAUUGUACUAUUAAAGUAUUGUAUUAGAAAUAGUGUAGUAUAAAGAACAAUUGGAAAGAUUCUAUCAGUAUCCGAAUUGAAUUCUAUUAUAUUUCUAUAUAAAUAAAAAAAGGCGGUUAUUUUAUUGCUUUGUUCUACAGAAAAGGAACUCCCUAUUAUUUUCCUAAAAAAAAAAGAGAUUAUCCCUGAUUAUCCCUUAUGUGAAAAAAAAAAAAAAUAGAGAAAAAAGCCGGCUAUCGGAAUCGAACCGAUGACCAUCGCAUUACAAAUGCGAUGCACGAGAUGGAUGUUUGUUGUCCCAACCAUUCUAGUUAGUCCCGAUCCCGAUAAGAAGAAAGGAAGGAUUUUUUUACAAAGUUUUCUCCUGUUGUUGAUUCCCUAGCGUAGUGCUUCUUCCCCCAUGCCGCCUAUUGGUACUAGUGGAGUAGGAUUCACCUAACCCCAUAGGUAUAUAUAGGUAUAACCUUUCGCUUAAUACUACCUAAAAUUGAAGCAUAUUGAGGCUGCAUUAAUCGGGAAUACACGACAGAAGGGGUUAAUCGUUUUUUUUAUUUCCAAACUUCACCUUCAGCAAGCGUAGGUUUUUUUUUUCCAUUUUUUUUUUAUUUGUCUCUGAAGUCGGUAAAAAAAAAUAAUCAAAUCGCACCAUCUCUGUAAUAAGUGUAUGCCUCUUUUUCUCCAGAAGUUGUCGGAAUUAUUCGUAAUAAGAUAUUGGCUACAAUGGUAAAGGUCUUAUCAAUAAAAUUUCCAUUUAUCCUAGAUCUAGUCAUAGGUAUCCAUUCUAUAAUUUCAACCUUUCGCUUAAUACUACCUAAAAUUGAAGCAUAUUGAGGCUGCAUUAAUCGGGAAUACACGACAGAAGGGAUUAAUCGUUUUUUUUAUUUCCAAACUUCACCUUCAGCAAGCGUAGGUUUUUUUUUCCAUUUUUUUUUUAUUUGUCUCUGAAGUCGGUAAAAAAAAAAUAAUCAAAUCGCACCAUCUCUGUAAUAAGUGAAUGCCUCUUUUUCUCCAGAAGUUGUCGGAAUUAUUCGUAAUAAGAUAUUGGCUACAAUGGUAAAGGUCUUAUCAAUAAAAUUUCCAUAUAUCCUAGAUCUAGUCAUAGGUAUCCAUUCUAUAAUUUCAUUUUUUAUCGCGUGAUAAAAAAAUUCCCCAAACAAAGGAAUUGUACAAUACAGUACGAAAUAACGUAAAAAUGGACUUCUUAAUCAAAUUUCUUUAUUCUACGGUAGGCCUUGAAGUAGAUUUUUUUUUUUUUUUUUCAAAAAAAAAAACAAAUUUUUUCCAUUUUUUUUAGUUUCAAUUGAUUGUGUGCGCCUACGCAAAUGGGAUAUAAAUGGCUCAAUAAAUGGCUCACUAUUCACUCGGUUUAGGGACAUAAUCAUUAUGUAGGAGAGAUGGCCGAGUGGUUCAAGGCGUAGCAUUGGAACUGCUAUGUAGGCUUUUUGUUUACCGAGGGUUCGAAUCCCUCUCUUCCCGCACCCUUACCAAAUUCAUCAAUGUUACUGACCUCAAUGUUUGAAAUAAUAAUAGAUAACAUUAUUGCAACUUUGAUAUGCAUUCUCUAUUCCUAAUUUGUUUCUGUAAUUAAUAUAGAAAAUUGUUGAUCAAGUGGGUAAGGAAUAACACUUUUCCUACACCCACUUCUAUACACGAAUGGGGAAAAAUACUCGGAUCAAAAUUCUUGUUAUUUUAACGAGGUUUAAGUCUGACGAGAAUAAUAUUCUACAACCUGCAAUUCAUUAAUUUCCAAACCAACCCAUUUACUAUCUAUUAUUUGCUUGACUAAUCCUUUAUAUUGGAAUGGAAGAAUCAAAUGGGUUGGCAAUUGUUUGCGGGGGGCUGAUUCAAGAGAAUUUUGAAUCGGAGUUCUCGAUUUUUUGUCAUCCUUGGCUGUAAUAAUAUCUUCAGGUUUACAACGAUAACUUGGUAUAUCUACUAUACGACCAUUAACUAAAACAUGUCUGUGGUUAACUAAUUGACGGGCUUGAGGAACCCACUUCUAUACACGAAUGGGGAAAAAUACUCGGAUCAAAAUUCUUGUUAUUUUAACGAGGUUUAAGUCUGACGAGAAUAAUAUUCUACAACCAGCAAUUCAUUAAUUUCCAAACCAACCCAUUUGCUAUCUAUUAUUUGCUUGACUAAUCCUUUAUAUUGGAAUGGAAGAAUCAAAUGGGUUGGCAAUUGUUUGCGGGGGGCUGAUUCAAGAGAAUUUUGAAUCAGAGUUCUCGAUUUUUUGUCAUCCUUGGCCGUAAUAAUAUCUUCAGGUUUACAACGAUAACUUGGUAUAUCUACUAUACGACCAUUAACUAAAACAUGUCUGUGGUUAACUAAUUGACGGGCUUGAGGAAUAGUCGCAGCCAUACCCAAUCGAAAAAGAAUGUUAUCCAAACGCAUUUCCAGUAACUGGAGUAAAACUUCACCCGUUGACCCUUUCGCUUUUCCAGCGAUACGAACGUAUUUAAGCAAUUGUCGUUCUGUAAGACCAUAAUGAAAACGCAAUUUUUGUUCUUCUUCUAAACGAAUACGAUAUUGAGAUUUUUUACUGGAGCGCGAUUGUUCGCUUCCAACUGGAAGCUCUUUUCUGGUUAGUCCUGGUAAAGCCCCCAGACGCCGUAUUUUUUUGAAACGAGGCCCCAAGACCAUAAUGAAAACGCAAUUUUUGUUUUUCUUCUAAACGAAUACGAUAUUGAGAUUUUUUACUGGAGCGCGAUUGUUCGCUUCCAACUGGAAGCUCUUUUCUGGUUAGUCCUGGUAAAGCCCCCAAACGCGGUAUUUUUUUAAAACGAGGCCCCUUGUAACGUGACAUAAACACUCCUUUUUAAAAUGGAAAUUUUCAUAAAGAAAAAUUAAAACUAAACUAAAUGACAAAUAUUAUAAAUGAAGUAAAAUCUACUUAAAGUAUUGUAUUAGAAAUAGUGUAGUACAAAGAACAAUUGGAAAGAUUCUAUUAGUAUCCGAAUUGAAUUCUAUUAUAUUUCUAUAUAAAUAAAAAAGGCGGUUAUUUUAUUGCUUUGUUCUACAGAAAAGGAACUUCCUAUUAUUUUCCUAAAAUAAUAAGAGAUUAUCCCUUAUCUGGAAAAAAAAUAGAGAAAAAAGCCGGCUAUCGGAAUCAAACCGAUGACCAUCGCAUUACAAUGCUCUAACCUCUGGGCUAAGCGGGCUCUCAUAAUACAAAUUGUUCAUUUCUCAGAAUUUUUUCCUAAACUACUGGGAUCCUUCCUAGUUAUUAACUAUUUCAUAUUAGCUCUUCAUAACACAAUUACUAUAUCAUAACAUAAUCCAAUAAAUACAAACAUACAAAAAAAUUUAGAAUAUCCUAUAUUUAUUUGAUAUUCUAGUAUAUAACAUAUGAUAUAAAACGGAAUCAUUUUAAAAUACGAAUAAAAACUAUUUUAAUUACCAGUUACCUCAAAUACUCUUUAUUGUCCAUUUAUCCAAUUUUUUUUGAUCCAUAAAAAAAUAAUUUGAUAAACAAGAAUUUUCAUUCAUAUAGUAAGAUUCUCUUUUUUUUUAGUUUUUAAUCCCAUUUUUUAAUAUUUUAGAUUCUUUAAAUUUCGAUUAUUUAUUAUAUUUUAUCUAUUUCUAUUAUUAAAAAUUCAUAUUUAUUAUAUGUAUUUAUCCCGAUCCUUAUUAUUUAAAUUUAUUUUAUAUAAUUUUAUCUAUUAUAUCUACUUUUAAAUAUUAAAAGUAAAAUUAUAUAGGAAUAUUAUUUCUAUGUAUAUAUUCUUUAGAUAUUCUUUAAUAUUCUAGAAUACCUUAUAUUUCUUUCUAAUAUAAUAUAUAUAUAUAUAUAUAUAUAUAUAUAUAGAAAAUAGUAAAGAGUAUAUAUACUCUUUAUAUAUAUAUAGAAAAUAGUAAAGAGUAUAUAGAAUAUCAUCUUCAAUAGAAAUAAAAAUAGAAAUGUCUAUAUUAAGAUAUAUUCAAUAUUAUAUUAUCAUUUUAUUUAAUUUAAAAUUAAAUAAUGACUAAUUUGAUUACAGUUAUUUAUAUUCCAAAAUGAUUAUGCAUUAAGAUGAAAUAUGUAGAAUGUCUUUUAUUUUAUACAUAAAUAUAUCCAUAUCGAAUUAUACAUAUCCAUUCGAAUUCUAAAAUAUUGGAUGGAUUAUCAAAAGAAAUUGGAUUGGAUAAGUAAUUAAAAAUUAGAUCUUUCUAUUGAAUUUCUAAAUAAAUGUCGAAUUAGAAAUUAAUAAAUAGAUUUUAAUAAUUUUUCGUUUUGUUAUUAUAAGGUUUGUAUCUGUCUGCUCGAAGGAAAAAAAGAAUCGAACUUUAGAGUAUUCUAAAUUCUAUCAAAAAAGAAUAGAAGGGGGGACAUCUAAGAUAGAGAUAUAUGUAGUAUAUAUCUCUGUAUAUUGAAUUGUGAAUACAUAGAUAAUAGAAUCAUUUCUGAUUCGACUAAAUUAUGGGUAGCUGAUAUAGAUGAAAGAAAAUCAAUCAAGAAAAAACAAAUAGAAGGAAAUUUUUCCCCACCCAAUAUGAGUGUAGGUUUCGAAUAAAUUCAACAGUUCCAGCAUAUAAUUCUCAUAAUACUCAUAAUACAAACAAAUGAAAAAAAUAGCCUAAUGCGAUAUGAUAUCAAUCUCAAAGAAAAAACGGGGGAUAUGGAGAAAUUGGUAGACGCUACGGACUUAAUUGGAUUGAGCCUUGGUUUGGAAACUUAC
rnacentral:lncRNA from 1 species